rnacentral:lncRNA from 1 species
CUGGCGUAUCAAAUGAUUGCCAAAAAUUUAUGUCAUCUUAGGAUGUAUUAGUACCCAACACUGGGAUGACAAUUUUAUUUCCUCAUUAGUGCCAGCUGUGAUCAUGUGGUAGUGAUGGCCUAGAGGCUGUACUGAGAUGAUUUAAGAUGACUCCCAUCUCAAUGCCAGGAGUUAUUGGGAUAUCUGCUAUGGGAGUGGGAGUGGAGAGUAUUCAUAUGUGUGUCUGCAUCUUUGAUUAUGAGUUUGAGGGGUAGCAGAGCCAAUCUAUAUUGUGACUGCCCAAAUGUGCAAGAUAUUAGACUGAAAAUGUUUUCAUAAGGCAGAGCCCAUCAGGGCGAGAGGUCUCUGAAUUCUCCCAUGUGGAGAGCUUGCAAGAAUUGAAACUGUCCAGACUGGAGAAGCAAAUGCUGAAUGGCUGCCGUGUGAAAGAGGGAUUGAGUCUGUUGUUACCUGUGAACUUAUGGAAGAGUUGGGUUCUGAUAAACUUCAUGGACGGAAACUAGAAGUUGUACACAGAUUUCAGUUUUGCCAGGACGAUUAAAUAUCAUUGAUGCUUCUGGUCUACAAUUAGUCAGAGAAGAGAUUAAAAAAAUGAUGAGUAUUCAAGAAGGAAAGUGUUUGCUUUAACAUAUGAAGAAAAGGAGCUUCAGAGUGGUGAUUAACCCCAGAAUUGUGUGGAACGGAUAUGGAAACAAGACCACAGGAGCAUCGAGAACUGAGCAGAACUGAAGGUGACAUGAAAAUCAGCUGCAAGAUUCACCUCAGGGUGAUAAUGGGCUGCAGGUGGCUGCAGGAAUCCCGGGACAUUCUAGGCACUGCCAUAUUUUCUUAGGGGCCAGUAAGGAUGGCUAUCAUCAGAUGUACCUGAUGAUACAAACAUGGGCUGUCUUGCCUUCUAGUAUUCAUUCUUGAUGAUUGCAUCCAGAGCUCACUUUGGAGGUGCAGAUCAACUCUUCUUCAGGCUCAUCCAUGCGACUUGAGUGGGCUCUCAUCCCCAUUCCCAGGGGCUUAUGACAAUCAAGGUUUCCACUCCUCCAUGGUCUCAAUGGUUUUUCUCCCCAUGGGAAGCACAUAAUCCCAUUAGAGGCCACGGGAAGCUUUUUUGUUGGGCUUUGAGGGAAAAAAGGCUUUUGCAGCCAAUGAAUCGAUCAAUGUGUACUUCAACCUGGAUUGUAUGUAUGCAUCUCCUAGAUUGGGCGGAUGAUGAAGUGAGGCUGGAAGUGCUGAGCAUCUUCCUACCUGGGAUGACUGGGCUGAGCAGGAAGCCUACCCCGGGGUUCCAGCCAAGUUGGAGCCUGUGAGUGUGUGGUGUAGUUUAACGCCCUGAUUAAAUCACUAGGAAGCCAUUUCUCUCUCUCCUCCCAGACCAGAUCAGACAAUAUGUUCCCUUAUUUCUACUAAAGCCCCAAUUGGAUUUUGUGUCUUUUGAUACUGAAAGAAUCUUACCACAAAUAAAAUAAUUUGUCAUGUGGCUCCUACAUAUUUAUUCAGUUACAUAAACUAACUAAAUAAAUGAAUAAACUGUCAAUAAUGGUAGUUCCUCAUCUAUGAAUGACUCUUUACAAAGCCUAUCUCGCUUAAUAGUCAUAAUAAAUACUGAAGUAGAUACUAUUUAUACCUUUUUUUUAAAAGGAAUUAAAUAUUUUCAGGGUUAUACAAAGCAUGAGUAUUGUGGGUACAAAUUCAAGCUUUCUAACUCAAAUUUGAAGACUUAUCCCCAGGAUACUUUUACAUCUUUAGCUAGUACCAUGUAUACCUCAAAAGCUUACAUUAUUUUUCACAUGUGUUAGGUUUUGAGGGAUAAUCAAUAAGGAGGGCAUACUUUCAGGCUUCUUAUUUAUAACUGUGAAAUUUAGAAAUUGAUGGAGUAGCAGAUUUCUCGGUAGGAGACAGCUGUUUUAAAAUGCCCCAUGUUUUUAUUAAAGUAAAAAUCUCAAAAAUUGUCUUUUAAAAAGUGGCUCUGGCCAAUCUUAGAUAAAACAUCAUUUACUAGACUUAGGAAUUUCCUGUAGUAAAUUUCAGAUUUACUUUUCGGUCUCACAUCAUCAAAGAGAUCAUAACCCUUUGUGCAAUUAUGGUCUUGAACCAAGGCCUAUUCUCUAGGUCACUGCUGUCAGGACUUCAAGAUAAUUGUUUCCAUUGCAGGAUUUGAUUUUUAAUUCCCCGGAUGUUCUUGACGUGGUUCAGUUCUUCAGGAAAUCAUCACCCUCAUGAGCCCUCCCUGCCACUUGCAGAUAGGGCUUUCUCCCGGUAAGUUCUGGAGUCACGGCAGAGCUCAAUAAGUCUGAUUGGGACCUCCUAUGAUUAU